UGGGGAAUUUUGGACAAUGGGGGAAACCCUGAUCCAGCCAUCCCGCGUGUGCGAUGAAGGCCUUCGGGUUGUAAAGCACUUUUGGCAGGAAAGAAACGUCGCGGGUUAAUACCCCGCGAAACUGACGGUACCUGCAGAAUAAGCACCGGCUAACUACGUGCCGGCAGCCGCGGUAAUACGUAGGGUGCAAGCGUUAAUCGGAAUUACUGGGCGUAAAGCGUGCGCAGGCGGUUCGGAAAGAAAGAUGUGAAAUCCCAGAGCUUAACUUUGGAACUGCAUUUUUAACUACCGGGCUAGAGUGUGUCAGAGGGAGGUGGAAUUCCGCGUGUAGCAGUGAAAUGCGUAGAUAUGCGGAGGAACACCGAUGGCGAAGGCAGCCUCCUGGGAUAACACUGACGCUCAUGCACGAAAGCGUGGGGAGCAAACAGGAUUAGAUACCCUGGGUAGUCCACGCCCUAAANGAUGCCAACUAGCUGUUAGGGGGCCUUCGGGCCUUGGUAGCGCAGCUAACGGCNUGAAGUUGACCGCCUGGGGAGUACGGUCGCAAGAUUAAAACUCAAAGGGAAUUGACGGGG
rnacentral:rRNA from 1 species